rnacentral:lncRNA from 1 species
CCCAAUUAAAGAAGCAUAAUAGAACCAACCUUGCAAGCUAGGAAAUAAGCUGCUACUAAAUUAAAGAAAUCAAGGACCUCAAUAGCAAACAAAAACUCUUCUAUGCAUUCACUUUCAGACCAUAAACUAAUUCAAAGCACCUGAGAAUAGUCUUUAAAGUCCAAAUAUUUUGAAUCGGUAGUUUGCAAACUAGAAUUGUAUCUUCUGCAAAUUGAAGGUCACGCACUUCCAUUCAAAGUGUAUCGAUUUUAUAACAUUAAAAAAGGCUAUCAUUCCUAGCUUGGCAAAUCAAACAAGCAAAACCUUCUGCGAUCAUAAGAAAAAUGAAAUGUGUCAUAGGAUUACCUUGUCUGGUACCUUUUGAAAGUGAGUACUAAUACAACCACAUCUAACCAUAUUAUGACCGCAUAUGAUAACAUCAAAUUAAAAGAUAUUUUUUUGAUCACAAAAAGUUUAUAUCACAAAGGCCUUAAUCUGCAUACCAUAGAAGUCUCUUCUUUGACAUUGCUUACCGUGCACUAGGUGGUGGCGCUGGCACUGCUGAGAUCAUUUGUUCAUGCUCCAAAAUACCCAUCCUAACUAUGAGGACAUGGGGAACCUCUAUUCUGCGACCAAACAUUUCCAAUAAGAAUCUAGUGUGAUUUGUGUGCUGAAAAUGAUGCCUUUAAUUUGGAUAUCAGUAGUGCAGAAUAGAGGUUACCCAUGAACUCAAAGUUAGGACAAAAUGU